GGACUACAAGGGUAUCUAAUCCUGUUUGCUCCCCUAGCUUUCGCACCUGAGCGUCAGAGACGAGCCAGGAUACUGCCUUCGCCUUUGGUGUUCUUCCAGAUCUCUACGCAUUUCACUGCUCCACCUGGAGUUCCGUAUCCCUCUCUCGCUCUCAAGUCCUACCGUUUGGAAGGCACUCUCCCAGUUAAGCCAGGAGCUGUCACCAUCCACGUGCAGGACCGCCUGCGUGCCCUUUACGCCCAAUAAUUCCGGAUAACGCUCGCCCCCUACGUAUUACCGCGGCUGCUGGCAC
rnacentral:rRNA from 1 species